rnacentral:rRNA from 1 species
UAGGGAAUCUUCGGCAAUGGACGAAAGUCUGACCGAGCAACGCCGCGUGAGUGAAGAAGGUUUUCGGAUCGUAAAACUCUGUUGUUAGAGAAGAACAAGGACGUUAGUAACUGAACGUCCCCUGACGGUAUCUAACCAGAAAGCCACAGCUAACUACGUGCCAGCAGCCGCGGUAAUACGUAGGUGGCAAGCGUUGUCCGGAUUUAUUGGGCGUAAAGCGAGCGCAGGCGGUUUCUUAAGUCUGAUGUGAAAGCCCCCGGCUCAACCGGGGAGGGUCAUUGGAAACUGGGAGACUUGAGUGCAGAAGAGGAGAGUGGAAUUCCAUGUGUAGCGGUGAAAUGCGUAGAUAUAUGGAGGAACACCAGUGGCGAAGGCGGCUCUCUGGUCUGUAACUGACGCUGAGGCUCGAAAGCGUGGGGAGCAAACAGG